GCCCGCUCAGAAACUCAAAGGAAGUUGACGGGGCCCGCACAAGCGGUGGAGUAUGUGGUUUAAUUCGAUGCAACGCGAAGAACCUUACCUGGUCUUGACAUCCCGGAGACCCUUAGGAAACUAGGGGGUGCUUCCAUCUGGAAGAAUCUGGAGACAGGUGCUGCAUGGCUGUCGUCAGCUCGUGUCGUGAGAUGUUGGGUUAAGUCCCGCAACGAGCGCAACCCUUGCCUUUAGUUGCCAGCAGUUCGGCAGGGCACUCUAAAGGGACUGCCGGUGUUAAACCGGAGGAAGGUGGGGAUGACGUCAAGUCCUCAUGGCCUUUAUGACCAGGGCUACACACGUACUACAAUGGCCGAUACAAAGGGCAGCGACACUGCGAGGUGAAGCCAAUCCCGUAAAAUCGGUCUCAGUCCGGAUUGGAGUCUGCAACUCGACUCCAUGAAGUUGGAAUCGCUAGUAAUCGUGGAUCAGCAUGCCACGGUGAAUACGUUCCCGGGCCUU
rnacentral:rRNA from 1 species